CCUACGAGAGGCAGCAGUGGGGAAUAUUGGACAAUGGGGGGAACCCUGAUCCAGCCAUGCCGCGUGUGUGAAGAAGGCCCUCGGGUUGUAAAGCACUUUCAGUGAGGAAGAACGCCUGGUGGUUAAUACCCAUCAGGAAAGACAUCACUCACAGAAGAAGCACCGGCUAACUCCGUGCCAGCAGCCGCGGUAAUACGGAGGGUGCGAGCGUUAAUCGGAAUUACUGGGCGUAAAGCGCGCGUAGGUGGCUUGAUAAGCCGGUUGUGAAAGCCCCGGGCUCAACCUGGGAACGGCAUCCGGAACUGUCAAGCUAGAGUGCAGGAGAGGAAGGUAGAAUUCCCGGUGUAGCGGUGAAAUGCGUAGAGAUCGGGAGGAAUACCAGUGGCGAAGGCGGCCUUCUGGACUGACACUGACACUGAGGUGCGAAAGCGUGGGUAGCAAACAGGAUUAGAUACCCGAGUAGUC
rnacentral:rRNA from 1 species